AUUGAAAUCAAUAGCCGUUUAUCACGUGAUGUAAGAAGAAAAUUCCGAUUUUGUGAAUGGAAAAUAAUUUAAUUUAAAAAAUUAACAUAAACGAAGGUCGCCAAGAAAAAACCAAAGGUAUAUAGUUGACAUCACGGUUUUUACUCUGAUCUUAGUUAAUUUUUUGCUAUAACAAUUUUAUUUGAAAAGUGAUUUUAUCAAUGAUGUAUAUAGUAAAAGUUAAGCCUAAUGACGUCGAUUUGCUGAAAUAUUCAGUCAUAAUUCGAAAAAUAUCGUAUUGUUGCUCUUAAUAUAUCAUUCGUACUCAUUCAAGAAAUAUAAAUUUUUAAUUCUCUUUAAAUUUCGAUCUAUAUAAAAUAUAGACUAUCAUGUUUUCUUAUAAUUGUAAAGAAUGUACUGUACGCAUGCUUGGGUGAGUGUCCAAUGAAUAUGCGAUAUGCUUACAUGCAACGUUUGUUACAAUUUUAAACGAUCGUAUAGUGCUAUAUAAAGAAUUUAUUUAGCCAGCUUUGUUGAAGUAUAUCGAUACCUAUCUCGUGUUCUACGAAAUGAUAAAAUAUAUGAAAAUGGUUUCGUAUGUUCCUUUAAUGAAUGUAACCUAUAAAUUUUAAUAAAAGAUAUGAACUGUAUGUUUAUUUUGAAAAUAGAUUUAUAUGGGAUGAAGAAAAACUUCAUCGUUAAGGUUUGUGUACUGAUAGGGAGCAUCGAAGCGAAUCGAAGAUGUCAACGAAUAUAUGGUCUGAAUGGCAUUAUUUUCGAGUUGAGACCCUUUGAUGCUGGCCAGUCACAAUCUAGUGUGCAAAGAGUUAGCCAAUCUCAAUUGAGAAUGACAUGACUCUUGGCAAUGGCAUUUCGCAUGCUCGAUAGUGAUUGGCCAGCUUUA
rnacentral:lncRNA from 1 species